UCCACUUUCACUUUUUCUACUCUUUUACCAUGAAAAUACCCAUUUCAAGGCCUAAGGAAAAGCCAGUGAUUUCAGCAUUCAUAACCCCAACUGCAGAAUGUCCUUAGAGGGCUGUUGUUAGCAUGGGUAAGAGUGAACAGGAAGGCACUUUGUAAGCUAUGAGGCACUGGACAUGUGUGGGUGAUGGUGAUGUCAGUGACAGUUAUAGAGAUGAUGAUAUGAUACUGACACAGACCAACUUGUUAACCCAUAAAUAGGAAAAGACGUGAACUGCUGGUUCCAACUGGAGUAGUAAAUGCACUAAGGGAGACCAGGCAGCCUAUGGAAAAAGGAUAAGUCAUGCAGAAUGAAACCUAGGGCAGGCUGUUUAAAAGCCUUAUAGUUUUAAAACUCCAGCCCAUCCCUUUCAAAUCUGAGAAAUACCAAACAAUUCCCUGGUAGUCUUUAUCGGGUUUUUCUUCCCCUGCGUGCUUCUUUCUAUCUAGAUAGUUCACUUGAAGCUCCAUCAUCCACACCUCCUGUUCAGCAAGGUUCCUCCCCCUACACAGUCUCAGUGGGUACCACUCUCUGGACCAUAGGAUGGGUGUCAACACUGUUAAAGGGCAGAGAGUAGAAAGGAAGGGGCAGGGCAGUGAGGAAGGGUUGUCUGUUCAUCCCCAGGAAAGCUACAUGAAGUUCCUGUCCUUACAACCCACUGACUGCUCUUUCUAAUGGCUAAACUCUCUUUCAGGAGCAACACAGAACCUUCCACUUUGAUGGAGAAGGCAGACAUGAGAGCCAUUCCAUUUGCGUGAUACUGGCCGAUGUGUUUUUGACCAAGAGAACUGAGUAUAGGACAGGAUCUCCAGGAUCAAGGCAGGUGAUCAGAGAGCCUCUCACAAAAUCUAUUGAGUGCUGUACUCAAUAUGCCAGCAAAUCUGGAAAACUCAGAAGUGGCCACAGGACUGGAAAAAGUCAGUUUUCAUUCCAAUCCCAAAGAAAGGCAAUGCCAAAGAAUGCUCAAACUA